rnacentral:lncRNA from 1 species
CCAAAUAUCAUCAUGUCUACACCCCAUCUUAUCCAUCAAUCUUUUGAUACUUAACUCAAACUUUUUGAUGCCGGACUCAACUUUCCUUCCAAUGUUGUUCACCUUCUUCUUUAACUUUCGCAAAUCUUUCUUAACUGAUUCCAAUGUCGUCGCUUCCCCCGAACUAGAUGAAGUAUCAUAACUUCCUCGAGAUGUAGGCGGAGGAGCAGAGCUAGAAGCUGCUCUCGGUGGAGGUGCUGGACUAGAUGCUUCAGGAGGUGCCCC